GAGUUUGAUCAUGGCUCAGGAUGAACGCUAGCGGCAGGCUUAACACAUGCAAGUCGAGGGGUAACAGGGAAGCUCGCUUCUGCUGACGACCGGCGCACGGGUGCGUAACGCGUAUGCAAUCUGCCUCAUACUGAGGGAUAGCCCAGAGAAAUUUGGAUUAAUACCUCAUAGUAUUAUGAUAAGGCAUCUUAUUAUAAUUAAAGGUUACGGUAUGAGAUGAGCAUGCGUCCUAUUAGCUAGUUGGUAUGGUAACGGCAUACCAAGGCAACGAUAGGUAGGGGCCCUGAGAGGGGGAUCCCCCACACUGGUACUGAGACACGGACCAGACUCCUACGGGAGGCAGCAGUGAGGAAUAUUGGACAAUGGAGGGAACUCUGAUCCAGCCAUGCCGCGUGCAGGAAGACUGCCCUAUGGGUUGUAAACUGCUUUUAUACAGGAAGAAACACUCCCUCGUGAGGGAGCUUGACGGUACUGUAAGAAUAAGCAUCGGCUAACUCCGUGCCAGCAGCCGCGGUAAUACGGAGGAUGCAAGCGUUAUCCGGAAUCAUUGGGUUUAAAGGGUCCGUAGGCGGAUUAAUAAGUCAGAGGUGAAAGCCAGCAGCUCAACUGUUGAACUGCCUUUGAUACUGUUAGUCUUGAGUUAUUGUGAAGUGGUUAGAAUAUGUAGUGUAGCGGUGAAAUGCAUAGAUAUUACAUAGAAUACCAAUUGCGAAGGCAGAUCACUAACAAUAAACUGACGCUGAUGGACGAAAGCGUGGGGAGCGAACAGGAUUAGAUACCCUGGUAGUCCACGCCGUAAACGAUGGUCACUAGCUGUUC
rnacentral:rRNA from 1 species